GGACGUGCGGGCAAUCUGUCUGCGACAUCUGUCACCCCAUCGAUCGCCAGGGUUGAUUCGGCUGAUCUGGCUGGCUAGGCGGGUGUCCCUUUCCUCCCUCACCGCUCCAUGUGCAUCCCUCCCGAAGCUGUGUGCUCUGUCAAAGAGGAUGAGCUUCCCCGAUAGAGGACUGUUCUUCGGUCAAGGGUAUACGAGUAGCUGCGCUCCCCUGCUAGAACCUCCAAACAAGCUCUCAAACUUCACAUGGUUAAAACUGAGCUUAUUUUGUGCAACACCUG
rnacentral:snRNA from 1 species